AACGCCGCGUGAGUGAAGAAGGUCUUAGGAUUGUAAAGCUCUGUCCUUAGGGAAGAACCGUGGGUAUAGAAAAUGAUACCCACCUGACGGUACCUUUGGAGGAAGCACUGGCUAACUACGUGCCAGCAACCUCGGUGACUGAGCGGGCUGGCAAGGCGCAUA
rnacentral:rRNA from 1 species